rnacentral:tRNA from 1 species
GGUCCCGUAGUACAAUGGAUAGUACGUAGGUCUCCGGAACCUAAGAUCCAGGUUCGAUUCCUGGCGGGAUCACUA